UAAGGAAUAUUGGUCAAUGGACGCAAGUCUGAACCAGCCAUGCCGCGUGAAGGAAGACGGCCCUACGGGUUGUAAACUUCUUUUGUACGGGAAAAAACCUCCGGUCGUGAACCGGAGCUGAUGGUACCGUAAGAAUAAGCAUCGGCUAACUCCGUGCCAGCAGCCGCGGUAAUACGGAGGAUGCAAGCGUUAUCCGGAUUCAUUGGGUUUAAAGGGUGCGCAGGAGGAAUGAUAAGUCAGUGGUGAAAUCCUACAGCUCAACUGUAG
rnacentral:rRNA from 1 species